GGUUCCGGUCACACUACCCUGAGAAACGCCGAGUGCUCGUCUGCCUCUCGGAAGCUAAGCAGGGUUUGCCUGGUUAGUUUACUUGGAUGGGAGACCACUUGGGAAUCCAGGUGCUGUAAGCU
rnacentral:rRNA from 1 species